AGAGUUUGAUCCUGGCUCAGGAUGAACGCCGGCGGUGUGCCUAAUACAUGCAAGUCGUACGCACUGGCCCAACUGAUUGAUGGUGCUUGCACCUGAUUGACGUUGGAUCACCAGUGAGUGGCGGACGGGUGAGUAACACGUAGGUAACCUGCCCCGGAGCGGGGGAUAACAUUUGGAAACAGAUGCUAAUACCGCAUAACAACAAAAGCCGCAUGGCUUUUGUUUGAAAGAUGGCUUUGGCUAUCACUCUGGGAUGGACCUGCGGUGCAUUAGCUAGUUGGUAAGGUAACGGCUUACCAAGGCGAUGAUGCAUAGCCGAGUUGAGAGACUGAUCGGCCACAGUGGAACUGAGACACGGUCCAUACUCCUACGGGAGGCAGCAGUAGGGAAUCUUCCACAAUGGGCGCAAGCCUGAUGGAGCAACACCGCGUGAGUGAAGAAGGGUUUCGGCUCGUAAAGCUCUGUUGUUGGAGAAGAACGUGCGUGAGAGUAACUGUUUACGCAGUGACGGUAUCCAACCAGAAAGUCACGGCUAACUACGUGCCAGCAGCCGCGGUAAUACGUAGGUGGCAAGCGUUAUCCGGAUUUAUUGGGCGUAAAGCGAGCGCAGGCGGUUGCUUAGGUCUGAUGUGAAAGCCUUCGGCUUAACCGAAGAAGUGCAUCGGAAACCGGGCGACUUGAGUGCAGAAGAGGACAGUGGAACUCCAUGUGUAGCGGUGGAAUGCGUAGAUAUAUGGAAGAACACCAGUGGCGAAGGCGGCUGUCUGGUCUGCAACUGACGCUGAGGCUCGAAAGCAUGGGUAGCGAACAGGAUUAGAUACCCUGGUAGUCCAUGCCGUAAACGAUGA
rnacentral:rRNA from 1 species